GCGAACGGGUGAGUAACGCGUGAGGAACCUGCCUCAAAGAGGGGGACAACAGUUGGAAACGACUGCUAAUACCGCAUAAGCCCACGGGUCGGCAUCGACCAGAGGGAAAAGGAGCAAUCCGCUUUGAGAUGGCCUCGCGUCCGAUUAGCUAGUUGGUGAGGUAAUGGCCCACCAAGGCAACGAUCGGUAGCCGGACUGAGAGGUUGAACGGCCACAUUGGGACUGAGACACGGCCCAGACUCCUACGGGAGGCAGCAUG
rnacentral:rRNA from 1 species